UACGAAGGGGGCAAGCGUUGUUCGGAUUCACUGGGCGUACAGGGUGUGUAGGCGGUUUGGUAAGUCUUCUGUUAAAGCUUCGGGCCCAACCCGGAAAGCGCAGAGGGUACUGCUAGGCUAGAGGGCGGGAGAGGAGCGCGGAAUUCCCGGUGUAGCGGUGAAAUGCUUAGAUAUGACAUAGAACACCGAUAGCGAAGGCAGCUUGCUAGACAAUCAUUGACACUGAGGCACGAAAGCGUGGGGAUCAAACAGG
rnacentral:rRNA from 1 species